AUCGAUUCACGGCCAUUUUUGUUAGGAUCUAUAGUGUACUAUCUGUUCUUCUCGGUUUAAGUUAAUCCCUGAGACGCCGAGAGAUUAUAUUAAGGUUUGGAGCUUGGGACAGGGAUGGCAGCUGACUGCGCCCUUUCUGCGCAUUGUCCCAGUAUUGCACUACUUCCGAAUACAACUAACCAAUU